rnacentral:rRNA from 1 species
CAGUAGCCACGGUAAUACAGAGGGUGCGAGCGUUAAUCGGAUUUACUGGGCGUAAAGCGUGCGUAGGUGGUUGUUUAAGUCUGCUGUGAAAGCCCUGGGCUCAACCUGGGAAUUGCAGUGGAUACUGGGCGACUAGAGUAAGGUAGAGGAUAGUGGAAUUUCCGGUGUAGCAGUGAAAUGCGUAGAGAUCGGAAGGAACAUCUGUGGCGAAGGCGACUAUCUGGGCCAUUACUGACACUGAGGCACGAAAGCGUGGGGAGCAAACAGGAUUAGAGACCCCUGUAGUCCCUGUCUCUUAUAC